UACGGAGGGUGCGAGCGUUGUCCGGAAUCAUUGGGCGUAAAGGGCGCGUAGGUGGCCACUUCAAGCGUGCGGUGAAAGUCGGGGGCUCAACCCCUGAUCGGCCGUGCGAACUGGGGGGCUGGAGCACUGUAGAGGCAGGCGGAAUUCCGGGUGUAGCGGUGGAAUGCGUAGAGAUCGGCAGGAACACCCAGGGGGAAACCAGCCGGCUGGGGACGUGCUGACGCUCAGGGGCGAAAGCGUGGGGAGCGAACCGG
rnacentral:rRNA from 1 species